UGACGUGGCAGGUUCGCGUGUGUAAUGUAUGGUGUGUUGGUGUUAUUAUCAAAGUAUAAUUCUGUCACGUUCAGUGUACCAUUUAUAAUUUGGGGUUGUCCAAUUUGCAGUACAGCGAAUAGUUUGAUUUUGGAUCUUCAAACAGGAGAGUUGCAUCUAUUCAGUCUUCAAGAAAAGUUCGAGGAGAGUUGGUGUGUGGGAUUUGUUGGUUUGACUAAGUACAUGUUUGAACUAGAGUGAUUUCAGUUGUGUAUCUUCAAUAGAGAAAAGUAAGUGAAUGACACAUUCUUUUGUAUCAUUUGUUUUCAUAAUUUUUAUCACUCGUUUUCAAGAUAGUAUCAAUUUGCCCAAAAGGAAAUAGAGUGGUACCUGGUACAGGCAGGUGCGCCAAGGAACUGAAAACGUAAUGAUUACUUUUUUACAAGACAAUGCAUGUUGUUCUCCAAGUCAUAAAAUGUUGUAAAUGUUCAUGAGUAAUAUAUGCGAAAUAUAUCUAUUUGAUUUUUAUUCCAGUUUUAUUGUGCCACUUUCAAAUAGUGAUAAUGAACGUUAAUGUACAUUUUGUUCCAGGUAUUACUAUUGAAACACUGGCUGAUGCAUUGUUGGACAAAUAUAAGGAAAACUUUUCUGGUGAGCAAAGUUUGAAUAACUUUAAGUAAGUGAAAUUCAUUGAAGAACCCAUCAUACCACUCAUUUUAAAUACUUCAUUUGUGGGUUUAUUUUUCUAAGUGAGAAACCUAACCUAACCUAUUUCUUGAUGUAAUACACUUUUUCUUUUUCAAUGAAAUGAUAUAUUUAUUAUUUUGUAAUUAGUGCUGAUGAAUUCACAGAGUUAUUAUUUUAGCAUAUUUUUUAGUAUACAUUUGUUUGAGAGUAGGAACAUCCUAAUUUGAAUACAUUUCUAAUAUUUGUAAUAUGACAGUAUUCAGGAAUAUUUUAUUCAGUGAAUAAAUAUUUUGAAUUAGAUUUUUUAUUUUUAAUAUUGGUUGAAACGUCAAAUAUUUGAGUGUAUAUUGUUUUUAAAAUAUAUUUGUUUAUGAAUA